GAUGAACGCUGGCGGCGUGCCUAAUACAUGCAAGUCGAGCGAACGGACGAGAAGCUUGCUUUUCUGAUGUUAGCGGCGGACGGGUGAGUAACACGUGGAUAACCUACCUAUAAGACUGGGAUAACUUCGGGAAACCGGAGCUAAUACCGGAUAAUAUUUUGAACCGCAUGGUUCAAGAGUGAAAGACGGUCUUGCUGUCACUUAUAGAUGGAUCCGCGCUGCAUUAGCUAGUUGGUAAGGUAACGGCUUACCAAGGCAACGAUGCAUAGCCGACCUGAGAGGGUGAUCGGCCACACUGGAACUGAGACACGGUCCAGACUCCUACGGGAGGCAGCAGUAGGGAAUCUUCCGCAAAGGGCGAAAGCCUGACGGAGCAACGCCGCGUGAGUGAUGAAGGUCUUCGGAUCGUAAAACUCUGUUAUUAGGGAAGAACAUAUGUGUAAGUAACUGUGCACAUCUUGACGGUACCUAAUCAGAAAGCCACGGCUAACUACGUG
rnacentral:rRNA from 1 species